GAUGAACGCUGGCGGCGUGCUUAACACAUGCAAGUCGAACGGAAAGGCUCCUGCUUGCAGGGGUACUCGAGUGGCGAACGGGUGAGUAACACGUGGGUGAUCUGCCCUGCACUUCGGGAUAAGCCUGGGAAACUGGGUCUAAUACCGGAUAGGACCACAUUUUGGAUGGUGUGGUGGAAAGUUUUUCGGUGUGGGAUGAGCUCGCGGCCUAUCAGCUUGUUGGUGGGGUAGUGGCCUACCAAGGCGUCGACGGGUGGCCGGCCUGAGAGGGUGUACGGCCACAUUGUGACAGUGAUACGGCGCAGACUCCUACGGGAGGCAGCAGAGUGGAAUAUUGUACAAAGUGGGCAAGCCUGAUGCAGCGACGCCGCGUGGGGGAGGACGGCCUUCUGGGUGUAAACUCCUUUCGCGAGGGACGAAGCGUGUUUGUGACGGUACCGGGUGAAGAAGCACCGGCUAACUACGUG
rnacentral:rRNA from 1 species